AUUGAACGCUGGCGGCAGGCCUAACACAUGCAAGUCGAACGAGUGGCGGACGGGUGAGUAAUGUCUGGGGAACUGCCCGAUAGAGGGGGAUAACUAAUGGAAACGGUGGCUAAUACCGCAUACUAUCGGAUGUACCCAUAUGGGAUUAGCUAGUAGUUGGGGUAAAGGCUCACCUAGGCGACGAUCCCUAGCUGGUCCGAUAGGAUGAUCAGCCACACAGGAACUGAGACACGGCCCAGACUCCUACGGGAGGCAGCAGUGGGGAAUAUUGCACAAUGGGCGCAAGCCUGAUGCAGCCAUGCCGCGUGUAUGAAGAAGGCCUUAGGGUUGUAAAGUACUUUCAGCGGGGAGGCGUUACCCGCAGAAGAAGCACCGGCUAACUCCGUGCCAGCAGCCGCGGUAAUAC
rnacentral:rRNA from 1 species